UGUCUUUAUAGAUUUUUAUAAAGUCCAAUCUGCUCACUGAGUUUUAAAGAGCCGCAGUAUUAUGACUGUGCAAAGGUAGCAUAAUCAAUAGUUUUUUAAUUGAAAACUGGAAUGAAAGAUUAGAUGAAAAUUAAAUUUUCUUUAUUUAAAUCAUUGAAUUUAAAUUUUAAGUGAAAAUUCUUAAUUUGUUUUAAAAGACGAGAAGACCCUAUAGAUUUUUAUUAAUUUAAAGAUUUAUUUACAAUUAAUAAAUUGAUUUAAUUGGGGUGAUGUUGUAAAAUAAUUAACUUGAAAAAACUAAACCAUAAAUAAUUGAAAUUUUUGAUCUAAAUAUUUUAAAAAGAAGAAUAAAUUACCUUAGGGAUAACAGCGUAAUUUUAUUUGAGAGUUCAUAUUUAUAAUAAAGAUUGCGACCUCGAUGUUGAAUUAAGGUAUAGUACUGAGGAAGAAGGUAGUAUUAUAAGUCUGUUCGACUAUUUAACCUUACGUGAUC
rnacentral:rRNA from 1 species